rnacentral:RNase_P_RNA from 1 species
CCAGAUCAUUAGGCGAUCGCCUGCUACUUGUAGCAGGAGGAAAGUCCGGGCAGCAUAGAACGACGGCAGUUGCUAACCGCAACCGGGGGCGACCCUAGGGAAAGUGCCACAGAAACGAAACCGCUUUGCCCCUAAAGGACGAAGCAAGGGUGAAACGAGUAAGGUAAGAGCUUACAGCAGGGCGUGGUGACACGUCAUGGAGGUAAACCCUGCCGGCUGCAAGGUGAUCCGCAUCUGAGUUUACUCAGGGGCUGUUCGUCCAGCGGAUCGAUUUAACCCGCUCGAAUAUAACGGCAACGUUAUAUCUAGAUAGAUGAUCGUCCAUGACAGAACCCGGCUUACCGAUGCUCUGGUCAC